rnacentral:rRNA from 1 species
AAUAGAUACCCUGGUAGUCCACGCCGUAAACGAUGAGUGCUAAGUGUUAGGGGGUUUCCGCCCCUUAGUGCUGCAGCUAACGCAUUAAGCACUCCGCCUGGGGAGUACGGUCGCAAGACUGAAACUCAAAGGAAUUGACGGGGGCCCGCACAAGCGGUGGAGCAUGUGGUUUAAUUCGAAGCAACGCGAAGAACCUUACCAGGUCUUGACAUCCCAUUGACCGCUAUGGAGACAUAGCUUUCCCUUCGGGGACAGUGGUGACAGGUGGUGCAUGGUUGUCGUCAGCUCGUGUCGUGAGAUGUUGGGUUAAGUCCCGCAACGAGCGCAACCCUUGUUCUUAGUUGCCAUCAUUUAGUUGGGCACUCUAAGGAGACUGCCGGUGACAAACCGGAGGAAGGUGGGGAUGACGUCAAAUCAUCAUGCCCCUUAUGACCUGGGCUACACACGUGCUACAAUGGACGGUACAAACGGUUGCCAACCCGGCGAGGGGGAGCUAAUCCGGAUAAAACCGGUUCUCAGUUCGGAUUGUAGGCUGCAACUCGCCUAC